UCGAGGAUCUUUUGGCAAUGGGCGCAAGCCUGACCAAGCGACGCCGCGUGUGCGAUGAAGGCCUCGGGUUGUAAAGCACUGUCGAGGGGGAGUAAGCCGAAAGGUUGAACUAUCCCUGGAGGAAGCACGGGCUAAGUUCGUGCCAGCAGCCGCGGUAAGACGAACCGUGCGAACGUUGUUCGGAAUCACUGGGCUUAAAGGGCGCGUAGGCGGGUGUGAAAGUCUGCGGUGAAAUCCUCCAGCUUAACUGGAGAAGUGCCGUGGAUACUGCACAUCUUGAGGAGGGUAGGGGCAUCUGGAACGGUCGGUGGAGCGGUGAAAUGCGUUGAUAUCGACCGGAACUCCGGUGGCGAAGGCGAGGUGCUGGACCCUUUCUGACGCUGAGGCGCGAAAGCCAGGGGAGCAAACGGGAUUAGAUCCCCUGU
rnacentral:rRNA from 1 species